CAGUCGCCGCGGGAAUACGAAGGGGGCUAGCGUUGUUCGGAUUUACUGGGCGUAAAGCGCACGUAGGCGGACUUUUAAGUCAGGGGUGAAAUCCCGGGGCUCAACCCCGGAACUGCCUUUGAUACUGGGAGUCUUGAGUUCGAGAGAGGUGAGUGGAAUUGCGAGUGUAGAGGUGAAAUUCGUAGAUAUUCGCAGGAACACCAGUGGCGAAGGCGGCUCACUGGCUCGAUACUGACGCUGAGGUGCGAAAGCGUGGGGAGCAAACAGGAUUAGAUACCCCAGUAGUCCCUGUCUCUUAUAC
rnacentral:rRNA from 1 species